CUUUAGUAAACAAGGAAGAAUGCAGAGGAACACUACAGUGCUGUUAUACAAACACAGUGCUUAAGAAAGUGGUGAAAUGAGAAGGAGGGCAGACCCAACAACCAUGUAAAGUACUCACACCUUUGCAGUAAGAUAUGAAAAGAACAAGCAAGUUGGAGGAAUUUGCUGCACAACUCAGGAUGCUGAAACAAAUAAGUCAUCCAUCUGGUCUUGUGACCCAUUUUCAUUCAACAACCAGAAACCAGAAAGAAGAGUGGAUCAGAAAAUCAAGAUUCCAGUCAGUGAUGAAAUCACUAAGGAUUAUCAUUUCUGAUUUAUGGUUUAUGUCAGCCAUUGCAAAGCUUCUUUAGCUACAGUUUCAUUUGUUUAACAAGAAGUAUUUUAUACAGGCAAUUAUAAAGAGCUUGCAGCAAGGAAAAUCCCCAAAACACGUUUGGCAAGCAUUUAAAAGAAACAAGCACAGCUUUACCAAAAAAAAAAAAAAAAAAAAAAAAAACGAGGAAACUAAGGUGCUCAAAUAUACUUCUGAAUGCUUUAAUACUGACUGUUUUAAAGGUCAAAAGCAUAUUUGAGCUGCUGAGUUUCCUCGAUUUUUUAUGAUGCUUUGCUUGUUUAUUAAUUGUAAAGAGCUUGCUGUUUUUAUUGUUUAUAUUGCUUAAAAUAGAUUCCAGUGAGGAGAGCCAUGUAUCUGAGCUUUAGAGAGCUAACAAGAAAGGGUCUGUAUUAUUUCCGUGAAAGACAUCAUCAUCGAAUCCCUGUUCAUCGACACAACUACAUUAAAUGCUGCAUUCAGCAAACUAUCGCUACAUCAAAGUUUUUCUCUGGGAAAGUAACUAGGUGGCAGGCAUUGUGAAUUAGCCCUUUUCCCCACUGUGCUGUGAUCUCAGAGUUGAUAUAUAUAUAUAUAUAUAUAUAUAUAUAUAUAUAUAUAUAUAUAUAAGUAGGGGGGUGUGGGGGUUCUGAAGCCCACCUUCAUGAGUGUAAAAUUAUGUAGUUCAUAUUCCGGUUGCUCUGCUGUCCAAGUAGUUUCUUUCCUUAGGAAAGAAGUUCAGUGAUUGUAAUGUUAUCUGAAUGACUCUUCGAUGGGUACUGAUCGAUAAAUAGGGAUUUGAUGGAGACGUCCUUUGCGGAAAUAAUAUAGACCCAACAAGAAAGAUUGCCUCCACAAAUUAUAGCAACUCUACCACCUUUGUGAAGUUGGUAAUUUCUAAGGAGGCACAAUACUGCUACUAGUUUCUUAAUAUCUCUGUGACUGCUAAGAUGUCUGACAUAUAUAAUGUUAUCUACCUAUAAGCAAUGCACAUUUUAUUUUUAAUAAAAUAAAAACACAGAUGACAACUGCCAUGCACUAGAAAAAUAAAAAUAAAAACAAACCAAGUGUAACAUGGUUGAAAACUUUAUUGACUGGUGCCAGGAAUAAACACUUGCAUCUGAACAUAAAAUACUUCAUCAGAUUCCACUGAAAAAUCCAUGCAUUCAGACUUAUAUAACUAUUAAAAUAUCA